AACGGACGCUGGCGGCGUGCUUAACACAUGCAAGUCGAACGGUAAGGCCCUUCGGGGUACACGAGUGGCGAACGGGUGAGUAACACGUGGGUGAUCUGCCCUGCACUUCGGGUUAAGCCUGGGAAACUGGGUCUAAUACCGGGUAGGACCACUGCCUGCAUGGGGGGUGGUGGAAAGCUUUUGCGGUGUGGGAUGGGCCCGCGGCCUAUCAGCUUGUUGGUGGGGUGAUGGCCUACCAAGGCGACGACGGGUAGCCGGCCUGAGAGGGUGACCGGCCACACUGGGACUGAGAUACGGCCCAGACUCCUACGGGAGGCAGCAGUGGGGAAUAUUGCACAAUGGGCGCAAGCCUGAUGCAGCGACGCCGCGUGAGGGAUGACGGCCUUCGGGUUGUAAACCUCUUUCAGCACCGACGAAGCGCAAGUGACGGUAGGUGCAGAAGAAGGACCGGCCAACUACGUGCCAGCCGCCGCCGUAACAC
rnacentral:rRNA from 1 species